rnacentral:rRNA from 1 species
UACGGAGGGUGCAAGCGUUGUCCGGAAUCACUGGGCGUAAAGGGCGCGUAGGCGGCCUGGUAAGUAGGGGGUGAAAUCCUGCGGCUUACCGCAGGGCUGCCUUCUAAACUGUCAGGCUUGAGCACGGUAGAGGCAGAUGGAAUUCCCGGUGUAGCGGUGGAAUGCGUAGAGAUCGGGAAGAACAUCAGUGGCGAAGGCGGUCUGCUGGGCCGUUGCUGACGCUGAGGCGCGACAGCGUGGGGAGCAAACAGG